ACUCCUACGGGAGGCAGCAGUGGGGAAUAUUGCACAAUGGGGGAAACCCUGAUGCAGCCAUGCCGCGUGAGUGAUGAAGGCCUUAGGGUCGUAAAGUACUUUCAGCAGUGAGGAAGGCGGAGUCGUUAAUAGCGGCCUCGUUUGACGUUAGCUGCAGAAGAAGCACCGGCUAACUCCGUGCCAGCAGCCGCGGUAAUACGGAGGGUGCGAGCGUUAAUCGGAAUUACUGGGCGUAAAGCGCAUGCAGGUGGUUUGUUAAGUCAGAUGUGAAAGCCCGGGGCUCAACCUCGGAAUUGCAUUUGAAACUGGCAGACUAGAGUACUGUAGAGGGGGGUAGAAUUUCAGGUGUAGCGGUGAAAUGCGUAGAGAUCUGAAGGAUACCGGUGGCGAAGGCCGGCCCCCUGGACAGAUACUGACACUCAGAUGACGAAAGCGUUGGGGAGACAAACAGGAUUAGAUACCCUGGUAGGAUAGCG
rnacentral:rRNA from 1 species